rnacentral:rRNA from 1 species
AUUGAACGCUGGAGGUAUGCUUAACACAUGCAAGUCGAACGCGAACGUUCCUUCGGGAACAAGUAGAGUGGCGGACGGGUGAGUAACGCGUAGGAAUCUACCCAAGUGUGGGGGAUAGCCCGGGGAAACUCGGAUUAAUACCGCAUAUGUCUUACGAGAUAAAGAGGGCCUCUUCUUGAAAGCUCUUGCACUUGGAUGAGCCUGCGUCGGAUUAGCUUGUUGGUGGGGUAACGGCCCACCAAGGCGACGAUCCGUAGCUGGUCUGAGAGGAUGAUCAGCCACACUGGGACUGAGACACGGCCCAGACUCCUACGGGAGGCAGCAGUGGGGAAUAUUGGACAAUGGGCGCAAGCCUGAUCCAGCAAUACCUCGUGUGUGAAGAAGGCCCUAGGGUUGUAAAGCACUUUCAAUUUGGGAAGAAAAGUUUAAGGUUAAUACCCUUAGACCUUGACGGUACCUUUAGAAGAAGCACCGGCUAACUCCGUGCCAGCGCCGCGGUAA